ACGGAGGUUGCAAGCGUUGUUCGGAAUGACUGGGCGUAAAGGGAGCGCAGGCGGCUUUUUAAGUCCGGCGUGAAAGCCCGGGGCUCAACCCCGGCGGGUCGUCGGAUACUGGGAAGCUCGAGUACGGAAGAGGAGAGUGGAAUUCCAGGUGUAGCGGUGAAAUGCGUAGAUAUCUGGAGGAACACCGGUGGCGAAAGCGGCUCUCUGGUCCGAUACUGACGCUCAGGCUCGAAAGCGUGGGGAGCAAACGG
rnacentral:rRNA from 1 species